CGGGGGGGACAAGUGGGGACAGGAGAGGACAGCGCAGCCCCCAUGACCCCCCCUCGGCGGCGGAGGCCCCCGGCGGGCAGGAGGAAGCCAAGACCGGCGACCCCAAGAAGGAGGAGGAUGAGGAGGAGGAGAUCGACAUCG